rnacentral:rRNA from 1 species
AUGGCUCAGGAUGAACGCUGGCGGCGUGACUUAACACAUGCAAGUCGAGUCGGAGUUUUAACGGAAGUUUCGGAUGGAAGUUAAGACUUAGUGGCGGACGGGUGAGUAACGCGUGGGUAACCUGCCUCAUACAGGGGGAUAACAGUUAGAAAUGACUGCUAACACCGCAUAAUAUAGUGAAACCGCAUGAUUUUGCUAUCAAAUAUUUAUAGGUAUGAGAUGGGCCCGCGUCUGAUUAGCUAGUUGGUGGGGUAAAGCCUACCAAGGCGACGAUCAGUAGCCGGCUUGAGAGAGUGACCGGCCACAUUGGGACUGAGACACGGCCCAAACUCCUACGGGAGGCAGCAGUGGGGAAUAUUGGACAAUGGGGGAAACCCUGAUCCAGCGAACCGCCGCGUGAGUGAAGAAGUAUUUCGGUAUGUAAAGCUCUAUCAGCAGGGAAGAUAAUGACAGUACCUGACUAAGAAGCCCCGGCUAACUACGUGCCAGCAGCCGC